ACUUAGAUAGCUUAAAUUUUAAUAAAGCUUAACUCUGAAGAAGUUAUGAUAGGUUGAAUACCUUUUAAGUA
rnacentral:tRNA from 1 species